rnacentral:rRNA from 1 species
CCUACGGGUGGCAGCAGUGGGGGAUAUUGCACAAUGGGGAGAACCCUGAUGCAGCGACGCCGCGUGGGUGAAGAAGCGCCUCGGCGCGUAAAGCCCUGUCAGCAGGGAAGAAAAUGACGGUACGUGAAGAAGAAGCCCCGGCUAACUACAUUCCAGCAGCCGCGGUAAUACGUAGGGGGCAAGCGUUAUCCGGAUUUACUGGGUGUAAAGGGGGCGCAGACGGCGAUGCAAGCGCGGAGGGAAAGCCCGGGGCCCAACCCCGGGACUGCGCUUGGAACUGCGUGGCUGGAGUGCAGGAGGGGCAGGAGGAAUUCGUGGUGUAGCGGUGAAAUGCGUAGAUAUCAGGAGGAACACCGGUGGCGAAGGCGGCCUGCUGGACUGCAACUGACGUGGAGGCCCGAAAGCGUGGGGAGCAAACAGGAUUAGAUACCCUGGUAGUC